rnacentral:ncRNA from 23 species
GUGAAUCAGGGGAAUGAAGUGCUCCCCGGGGCGUGGCCCCGAACCGCGUUUGACGCUGAUGACUUCUGCAUUUUG